rnacentral:lncRNA from 1 species
CGCCCGGGUUAGGGGUGAGGGUUACGAUUAGCGUUAGAUUUAGGGGUAAAGGGAUUAGGGUUAGGGGUUAGGGUUUGGGUUAGGGUUAAGGUGAGAGUGUUGUCAGCCUGGUCAUCCCUUAUCCGAAGCGAAGGGAAGACGUUCAGGUGUUUCCCUCAGAGGGUCUGAGGUGGCAUGGGUGAUGGUGGCCGUUCCUUUCGAGCUUGGAUCUAACUUCCAGGUACAGAGGCAAGUGGACUGCUGUUUUGAAAUGAUAAGUGGCCCCGUAUUUAAUUUUAUGUUGUUGAGGGAUGGGUGCUAAUGCUGUCAGCUGAACGAUUACCUUCUAUGUUUUCAUUUGUUAAAGCUGAAACACAGCGUACAACCUGGGACGUCCCACCCAGAGCUGCCUCUGGCAAGAGGUGUUGUAGCUGGCUUAAGAGGGUAGAUGGAAGCAUCUGCCUUGGGGUGUCUCGCACAGGCUCAAAGGAGCAAACUGCAUUCUGAAGAGCUGCUUAAGUGCCAUGGCAGGCUCUACACAGAAGUGGCUGAGGACUUGAGAUGAGGCUGGAGAGUGACAAGGAGCAGCACGUGCAGGGAUGGUUUUCAAGCGCUGCGGUUGCUUUCUCUUCUGUUGAUCAGGUGCCACAGGCAAGGUGGGCUGUGACAUCAGUCUUUAGAAUUGGAGCAAAGCGGGUCACUUGAAUGCCGCAGGGCAUCUGAGAAGGGUGUUUUAACAGGAAAAGUUCGUCUGGCGUGGCGGUGUCUGAUGGCAGUGUGUUUCCACAGGUGAAGAGGUGCCUGGAGCCCCAUCUCAUCUAGCCUGCGUGUGUCUUGAUGAUAAAGCCUGCUUUCCAGCAGUCCCGAAAGCUAAGUUUGACCUGAAAUGCCCUGUCUGUGUCUUGGGUAUGGUUGUACCUUGGCGUGUGUGUGAUACGUGCCUGGGGAGGGCUUUUAAAUCAGUGCAGCAGAGGAACAGGAUCCAGUAACAACUGGAUAAAGAGGCCCUGGGUUCAUCCUUUUCAGCCUAGCGUGUGCCAGGCAGGGCAGUUCCAGCAUGUGUUCUGUGGUGUAUGUUUGUUUCUGUACUAUAGUAUCCAUUUAUCAGGUCUUGUUCCCAUAGUUCUUGGCUUCUGCAGUGCUUGCUGAGCACCAUAUCAUGGGUCUUAAAUGUAUUGUCUUGGUGGCAUGGGACUAGUAAUGAAGUGUUUCUUGUCUUUCAUCGGGACUUCAAAAGGCUGAUCUCUCUGAAGAGCUU